UACGAAGGGGGCUAGCGUUGCUCGGAAUCACUGGGCGUAAAGGGUGCGUAGGCGGGUCUUUAAGUCAGGGGUGAAAUCCUGGAGCUCAACUCCAGAACUGCCUUUGAUACUGAGGAUCUUGAGUUCGGGAGAGGUGAGUGGAACUGCGAGUGUAGAGGUGAAAUUCGUAGAUAUUCGCAAGAACACCAGUGGCGAAGGCGGCCCACUGGCCCGAUACUGACGCUGAGGCACGAAAGCGUGGGGAGCAAACAGG
rnacentral:rRNA from 1 species